GUUCAGUUCAAUGGGAGAUUCAUUAUUCAGCUACUCCUAAUUUAAAGAUACAGUAUCCCCCCUCCCCCUGAAGAACAAAACAAAACAAAAAACAAAAUAGAAAAAGGACAUGACAUCUUUAUAUAUAAAUACUUUCAAA